rnacentral:snoRNA from 1 species
UUGCUGUGAUGACUUAUCUUAGGACACCUUUGGAAUACUCAUGAAAAAAAAAAUGUUAUUUCUGAGCAAC